ensembl:lncRNA
GAGAGAGAGGAGGGAAGGCUGCUGCAGGUUUAGUGUAGCAACUAGCCAGCACACACACAGAGCAAAGAGGGAGAGAGGGGAGGGAAGGCUGCUGCAGGUUUAGUGUAGCAACUAGCCAGCACACACACAGAGCAAAGAGGGAGAGAGAGGAGGGAAGGCUGCUGCAGGUUUAGUGUAGCAACUAGCCAGCACACACACAGAGCAAAGAGGGAGAGAGAGGAGGGAAGGCUGCUGCAGGUUUAGUGUAGCAACUAGCCAGCACACACACAGAGCAAAGAGGGAGAGAGAGGAGGGAAGGCUGCUGCAGGUUUAGUGUAGCAACUAGCCAGCACACACACACAGCAAAGAGGGAGAGAGGGGAGGGAAGGCUGCUGCAGGUUUAGUGUAGCAACUAGCCAG